UUAAGGUAAUCAAAAAUCUCUGAUUACAUGGUAGACUCUUAAUCAGAGUAUUGUCUUAAUCAUAUUAAAAUCGGAGUAUUGAUGUCCAUGUAAAUGUACUGCUUGAGGUCAUAAACGCAUGAAUUUGCAUUUCUGCAAUUGACGUUGAGAGCAUAGGUCGCAAUUUAGAUAUGUUUUUGAGAUGGAAAAAACGCAGUUUUACAGAUGCUAGAAACAUGGCUUUCAAAUGAAAGAUUGCUAUCAAACAGCACACCUAGGUUCCUAACUGAUGAAGAAGAAUUGACAGAGCAGCCGUCAAGUGUUAGAUAGUGUUCUAGGUUAUUACAUGUGGUUUUUUUAGGUCCGAUAAUUAACGCCUCUGUUUUUUUAGAAUUUAGCAGUAAGAAAUUACUCGUCAUCCAGUUUUUUUUAUGUCAACUAUGCAUUCCGUUAGUUUCUCAAUUUGGUGUGUUUCACUGGGCCGUGAAGAAAUAUAGAGCUGAGUACCAUCAGCAUAACAGUGAAAGCUAACACUAUGUCUCCUGAUAAUAUCUCCCAAGGGUAACAUGUAAAGCAUGAAAAGUAACGGCCCUAGUACUGAGCCUUGAGGUACUCCAUACUGCACUUGUGAUCGAUAUGAUACCUCUUCAUUCACUGCUACGAACUGAUGGCGGUCAGAUAAGUAUGAUUUGAACCAUGCUAAGGCACUUCCACUAAUGCCAAAAAAGUUUUUCUAGUCUAUUCAAAAGAAUGUUGUGUUCGAUAGUGUCGAACGCAGCACUAAGAUCCAGUAGAACUAAUAAAGAGAUACAACCACGAUCAGAUGAUAGAAGCAGGUCAUUUGUAACUCUAAUGAGAGCAGUCUCAGUACUAUGAUACGGUCUAAAUCCUGACUGGAAUUCCUCACAGAUACCAUUUUUCUCUAAGAAGGAAUAUAAUUGUGAGGAUACUACCUUUUCUAGUAUCUUUGACAGAAAAGGGAGAUUUGAGAUCGGUCUGUAAUUAACUAGAUCGUUGGGGUCAAGUUGUGUUUUUUUAAUGAGAGGCUUAAUAAGAGCCAAUUUGAAGGUUUUGGGAACAUAUCCUAAUGACAAUGAUGAAUUAAUAAUAGCCAAGAGGAUCUUUGACUUCUGGAAGCAGCUCUUUUAGUAGUUUACAUGGAAUAGGGUCUAACAUACAUGUUGUUGGUUUAGAUGAUUUAACAAGUUUAAACAAUUCUUCCUCUCCUAUAGUAGAGAAUGAGUGGAAUUGUUCCUCAGGGGAUCUAUAGUGCACUAUCUGAUGCGAUACUGUAGCUGACGGCUGCAAGGAUACAAUUUUAUCUCUGAUAGUAUCGAUCUUGGAAGUAAAGUAGUUCAUAAAGUCAUUACUGCUGUGCUCUUGGAAAAUGCCAACACCUGUUGAUGCUUUAUUUUUCGUUAAUUUAUGUUUGUUUUCUUCUAGAAGAGAUGAAAAGUAAUCAGAUCUAACGGUUUUUAAUGCCUUUCUGUAGGAUAGGGUACUUUCCCACCAAGCUAUACGAAAUACUUCUAGUUUUGUUUUCCUCUAGCUGCGCUCCAUUUUCCGGGCUGCCCUCUUUACGGUGCGAGUGUGCUCAUUAUACCACGGAGUCAGACUGUUUUCUUUGAUCUUCCUUAACCCUCUGGGGUCGACAAACGUGUAUACGCGUUUUGAGGCAGAUUUUCCUGAUAAGGCCGAAAUGAGCUUGAAUUACUCUGCCAUUUUUGAUCGUACAGAUAAGAGCAAUACACCAUUCGAAUCUGUAAGGGGUCUACUUUUAUUUGUAUACACUCAUAAUAACAACUAAACUUUGUGCUUUUGAAGAAUAAAGAAAACAAACAGGGAGCGCUCUCUGUCUUCUCCGUCUCCGCGAACUGCUUUUUGAAACACGUCACUAAAAUGAACUGUAACUCAGCAAAUACUUCACACAGAGACAUGAGUAAUAUAUCUAUAGAAAGCUUGAAAUGUCUACUAUUAAAUGAAAAAAAUUAAGUCGAAAACAAAUAAUCUGUUUUUAUGUAAUCCGUAUGAAAGUAAGGAGUGGUCCGGUUUCUCCUGUAUCGCCUCAUUACAGCUAAUGUGAUCCCGCCCCCCACUGAGCGCGCUGUUCAUAUGUAAAUGAACUGAGGUGAGCCAGGUCACGUACACGCCUCCGAGAAAUGGCAUAAAACGUCAAGCUUCAUCAUAGAAUUACUUACUUUUUCUGCGCGUUGGGAAGAUGGCACGCUACACGGGUGAAGACGCACUUCGGAUGGUUCUGGACAGCGACGAAGAGUUUACUUUCUCCUCAGAGGAAGAACGCGACUCAGAUGACGAACGUUUGCAUUUUGAAGAGCGUCUGGACCCAGCGGAGGAUAUAAUUCCUGACGAGACUGUGGCUGCAUGACCGGCUUCUUGCACAAGAAAGGCACGCGAGUGUCGUUCAGUUUUGAGUUCGCUGGAAAAUCACAAUCAGACUUUGAAUACACCACUCUUGCCUUCACCUGCAUCUCGCACAGGAAGGAG